rnacentral:lncRNA from 1 species
GGAAAGAAAGAGGCUUCGGUGAUAAGCUAGAUUUAGAUAGUUCCUAGAAUUUUUAUCUUUAGAACACAGAUGAAAAUCUUCUAAUUCUAAUACACGACUAAACGCCUUUGUAUUUGUCUAUCCUCGCACCUGUUAACGGAGCCGUUUCUUCUGUCCCACAGGAUGGCAAACAAAUGUCAGUCCCGUGUCUCCUAUUGAGGAACUGAAAGAGGGGCCGUCCUACAAACGGCUUUCGCCCACCUGUAAGCUUGAGGCUAAUUAAACCAAUCUGUCAUUCGCCUAAAUACCCCAAAUACGACGAUUAGACUGUGUUUAAUACGCCUAGGAGCCCAAGAAUUGCUCAUAAGGAGGAGCGAGUGCUCCUCUCGGCGGACGUUGAAGCAAGCUCACCGGUCGCUCAGACCUCAAAUCGCUCGCCACCUGUUAGAAUGAGCUCGAGCCUCGACGCUCCGCGCGCCUGCCACUGUCCACGAGGAGAACGGGAUUGUAACGUGAGAGAUGAGGCAUACGAGCUGACCCUCGAGGCGGUGGGGUGGAUGGGUUUGAGUGGAGUCCCAUGCGCGGUGGGACGGUUCAGAUCCAGGAAGUGCACGCGUGCAGAUAGCCCAAAUCUACACAAAACAGAUGUGUGUCCCACAGAAAACAGUUUUCGACCGGAGAAUUUGGAGGCGACGCAAACCUGUUCAAAGCAUGCUUAAAGUCACCCCUAGAUGUCAGCUACUUUUUCUAAAAACUGAACAGUUCCAUGAAGGUCAUGAAGGUGAAUGUGCUAAGAGAUCAGUGUUUUCUUUAAUGUAUUUAAUGCUGCCUUCAAGUGCUAUUUGACAUUUAGAUGUUGCGAAAAAAUGAAUAAACUUGACAGUCACUACCGCAAUCGUUCUCCCCUCCACCGCAUGAACUGUUCAUGGAAUAGCCUACUUUAAAUACAAUAUAAGUUGCUUUUGAUCAAGAUAUAAGCCAAAUGUAUGAAUGUAAAUGAAAUGCCACUGUUAAAGGCCUGGAGCUCAUCCAAUAAUAAUAAAUGACUGACUGGAAAAGUCAUAGGGAAAAAAUGAUUAAAACAAGUAAACAUGUUAAUCAUUAAUAAAAAAUGUAGAACCUUGAUGACCAGAUGUUGUGAUGCAGCUAUUUUGUAAUUAAUUUGCAUAUACAUACAUGUGCCCUGAGGACAAUUGUUUUGAUAAUGAGAGGUUGCUUUUUCAUAUCGGAGACUCAGUGGAGCUCUUUAAGUACCAACAUAGUCUCAG